rnacentral:rRNA from 1 species
GGGGAGCCCUAGCACAGGUGCUGCAUGGCCGUCGUCAGCUCGUGCCGUGAGGUGUUGGGUUAAGUCCCGCAACGAGCGCAACCCCCGCCGUUAGUUGCCAGCGGUUCGGCCGGGCACUCUAACGGGACUGCCCGCGAAAGCGGGAGGAAGGAGGGGACGACGUCUGGUCAGCAUGGCCCUUACGGCCUGGGCGACACACGUGCUACAAUGCCCACUGCAAAGCGAGGCCACCCGGCAACGGGGAGCUAAUCGCAAAAAGGUGGGCCCAGUUCGGAUUGGGGUCUGCAACCCGACCCCAUGAAGCCGGAAUCGCUAGUAAUCGCGGAUCAGCCAUGCCGCGGUGAAUACGUUCCCGGGCCUU